GUGCUUGCUUGGGCAGCAUAUAUACUAACAUUGGAACAAUACAGAGAAGAUGAGCAUCACCCCUGCGCAAGGAUGACAUGCAAAUUCGUGAAGAAUUCCAUAUUUAA
ensembl:snRNA U6 U6 spliceosomal RNA